UAGGGAGAAACGAGAAAGUCACGGCGUCACUUGCCCAAGGGAAGUCACUGUGAAUCCGCAUCCAACAAACCCCUCGUCUCCCCCGCGUGCGCUCCAUCUGGGCGAGGGCGACCGCCACCGCCGCCGCCGCCGCCGUACGCGAGGUGCCCAGGCCUUCGUUGAGCCCUUAGCCAGCAACGAGCACCCACCAGAUGGCUGGGUAUAUGUCAAGAGGGCCCCAAAAUGGUUCUGUGUAUGUCUGCAAUCUACCUCCUGGAACUGAUGAGAAUAUGUUGGCUGAAUAUUUUGGCACCAUAGGGUUGCUAAAGGGACAAAGUUACCAAUGAACCAAAGGGUGAUGCGACAGUCACCUAUGAGGAUCCACAUGCUGCUUCAGCUGCUGUGGAAUGGUUCAACAACAAGGAUUUCCAUGGGAGCACUAUUCAGGUUCACAUAGCCGAGUCAAAAAGCAAAGAUGCAUUCGAUAACCCCACAAGUUUGAACAUCAUUGCUGGUGUCGGUGAACAAGAUGAACUGGAUAACGGAGCAGGCAGAGGCAGAGGACGUGGUGAUGGUUCAGGCAAGGCUUGGCAGCAAGAUGGGGAUUGGAUGUGUCCAAAUACAAGGUCUGUUAUGAUUGUUGUGGCAAUGUAAAUUUUGCCUUCCGUGGUGUUUGUAAUCGCUGUGGAGCUGCACGCCCUGCUGGUGCUGGUGGAGCUGGUGGUGGCGGUGGCGGUAGGGGUAGAGGCCGUGGUAGCUCUGAUGCAAGAGGAAGCAGCCGUGCUGGUGCUGGUGCUGCUGUUGGUGGUCCACCUGGAUUGUUUGGCCCAAAUGAUUGGCCAUGUCCAAUGUGUGGCAACAUCAACUGGGCUAAGCGGACCAAAUGUAAUAUAUGUAACACCUCCAAGCCUGGUACCAAUGAAGGUGGUGUGAGGUAAGUACAAGGGCACUAUUUGCAUGUGGUUGGUUCAAAACAUAUUAUUUAAGAUGAUAAUACAAAUUGUACUCUAGCAGGUAUCCUAAACAUCUUGUAAAUUAUAAUACCAAUUCAGGAAUAUUAGACAUACUGUAAAUUAUAAUAACAAUUCAUGUAAAGAAUGUCAGCCCUUAUUUGUUAUAUGUGGUAAGGGAUUAAUAAGGGUUGUUCGUUAAUAGAUAAGCAUCAUGCUUUUACACCUGAUGCACUCACAGCCAGGAUGCAUUUUGCCGCACAGCAACAGUAUGGUACUCCUUAAAAAACAGCAGCUCAAUUGCAGUGAUAUUGUGCCCUUCAUGUGACCAGUUUUUGGCUUUUGGGCUCAGAAAUUGACUCAAAGGAGGUGCAGUGCCACUUUGACCCGUUGACAAUUGUUGAGUGGUUGUGAUUUGUGAACCAUGCAGUGCAUGUUGUGUGAAACAUAAUGUGAAAAACGGGCACACUGUGGGUGCUUUGUGUGAAGCCCAUUAAGUGAGCAACCAUGCAUUUAACUAUUUGUAACCAAAAGGUGUUUAUUCAAAUAUCAAGGUUUGCCUUGCCAAUUAUUUUUUCAUUUUAGGGGUGGCCGUGGUGGUGGGUACAAAGAGCUUGAUGAAGAAGAACUAGAGGAAGUUAAAAAACGUCGGAAAGAGGCUGAGGAGGAUGAUGGAGAGAUCUAUGAUGAAUUUGGCAACCUGAAAAAGAAAUUUCGCUCUAAACUGCAUACUGAAAGUGCACAGGCACUUCCUGGGUCCGGACGUGCUGGAUGGGAAGUUGAGCAUCGUGGUUCUAGUGAAAGGGAAGGCAGGGAGAGGAGCAGGGAUCGUGGUAGGGAUGACUACGAUGAAAA